UAAUCAUGUUGAGGACAUCUCAUCAACAAAUCUUUCAAUCUUUUCCAGGCUUAAUGUAGUGGCUCACAAUCUUAUUGUCUAAAUUGGCUAAUUUCACUCCUCAAUUA